rnacentral:rRNA from 1 species
UACAGAGGUCCCAAGCGUUGUUCGGAUUUAUUGGGCGUAAAGGGUGCGUAGGCGGCGGAGUAAGUUGGGUGUGAAAUCCCGGGGCUCAACCUCGGAAUUGCAUUCAAUACUGCUUCGCUCGAGUACUGGAGAGGAGACUGGAAUUUACGGUGUAGCAGUGAAAUGCGUAGAUAUCGUAAGGAAGGCCGGUGGCGAAAGCGAGUCUCUGGACAGUUACUGACGCUGAUGCGCGAAGGCCAGGGGAGCAAACGGG